rnacentral:rRNA from 1 species
UACAGAGGUCUCAAGCGUUGUUCGGAUUCAUUGGGCGUAAAGGGUGCGUAGGUGGCGCCGUAAGUCGGGUGUGAAAUUUCGGAGCUUAACUCCGAAACUGCAUUCGAUACUGCCGUGCUUGAGGACUGGAGAGGAGACUGGAAUUUACGGUGUAGCGGUGAAAUGCGUAGAUAUCGUAAGGAAGACCAGUGGCGAAGGCGGGUCUCUGGACAGUUCCUGACGCUGAGGCACGAAGGCCAGGGGGAGCAAAACGGG